rnacentral:rRNA from 1 species
AUUGAACGCUGGCGGCAUGCCUUACACAUGCAAGUCGAACGGCAGCACGGGGGCAACCCUGGUGGCGAGUGGCGAACGGGUGAGUAACAUAUCGGAACAUACCCUAGAGUGGGGGAUAACGUAGCGAAAGUUACGCUAAUACCGCAUACGAUCUAAGGAUGAAAGUGGGGGAUCUUCGGACCUCAUGCUCAUGGAGUGGCCGAUAUCUGAUUAGCUAGUUGGUGAGGUAAAGGCUCACCAAGGCGACGAUCAGUAGCUGGUUUGAGAGAACGACCAGCCACACUGGAACUGAGACACGGUCCAGACUCCUAC